ACCCAUCCAACUCUGAAGAUA
rnacentral:miRNA from 1 species